AUGAUUACUGUGGAAUUUCCUUACAGCAACUCUGAAAAUGUUUUUCAAGUGACGUUAGGAGUAAAGGAGGCAACAUGGCACCAUCACAGUAAAACAGGAGAUCAGGAGACAUCUGUUACAAAUUGGAAAGGAACCAAAAGACAGAGGGUGGGAAGAGGGAAGCAGGAGAAGGGGACAUAAAAAAAAUUAAAAUGUAUCAUGUACAGGUACAAACCACCUGAAAGUAUAUAACCAUUAUGUAUCCCAAAUGUGAACUACACAAAGGGAGGUGGCCUAGAGAAGGAGGCAAAGAGAUGGGUGAGGAAGGGGAAGGAACAUGAAAAUCUGUUAAAUACAAGUGCCUACUUCCUAAAAAACACAUGGACUAAAAACAUGCGCUAAUAAAAAACCAAAAACAACAAAAAAAGACCCCAGAAGAAUAAGAAAAAAACAAAGAAGUAGAAAUAAAAAAUAUCCAUGCAUGUCGUUUUCUCCACCAUACCAUCUCUGUCAUUUGUGAUUCCCAGGGAAGCUGGCUCUGACUUCCCCAAGGUUGCCAUCAACACUUGAAAGAUGUCCUGCUUUAGCACAUUUUGUACCUAGCCCUGACUGCAUGGAUAUGCUUUGUUUAUAACACCUCAUAGAAGCAGGGAGUGGAGUGAUGGUUACCAGAGACAAGGAAGAUGAAAGUUUGUGAGAUCUUGGUCCACAGAUUUAAAAAAAAUCAGUUAGGAAAAAUGUAUCCAAGAGAUGUAUUGUGCAUCAUGAAGAAAUUAUUUAGCAACAAGGUACAGAUGGGGUUACAUACCAAUAAAUCCUCUGUCAACUGAAAGUGCCUUAAGUAAUGCAUUUAUUAUAGUUAACCUAUCAAAAUCAUAGCUCCAUGUAGCCUAAUUUAAACAUGUUCAGAACACUAACUUUAGCUGACAGUUGUGCAAGAUCAAUACAAAACUUGCUUUAUAAUGGAACGCUGAAUAUACAAUUUGUUGUAUCUAAAAGAGUAUAUUGAUGGUUUAUUCUCACAAUUAUAUGUUUGAUUGACAGCACAUGUUGGUCACUACUGUGGCAGAGUACCCAACUGUGUGUCACUAGCUUAUUAAAAGGUCAAAUUCAAAAUUUGAAAUAUAGCCAGAGAUUUAGCUUGGUGGUUCCGCCACCUGCCUAGCAAGCGCAAGGACCGGAGUUUAAUCCCCGGUACCGAAAAAAAAAAAAAAGAAAUAUAGUUCCUAAAGAAUGCAUAUGCUAUUCACAUGAUUAUUAAGUCAAAAAUCUCUUAGUUAAACUGUCAUUAAUUCAGGGGCCAUCUGUAUUGUAUUAUUUAAAAUUGUUAAAACUACCAAUUUUAAAUGCUGUUAUAAAAACUGUUAGGUAUGUAAAGAAAUGUACAUAAUAGUUAAUUUAGCCAUUCCACAAUAUAUAGACAUUUUAAAUCAUCAUGAUGUACACAAUAAAUAUGUACAAAUGUUAUUUGUUAAUUAAAAAUAAGCUAGAAUAAAAUGACAAAAUAUCACAACACUUCAUUCAGGACUGUAUUUAAGUGAAGGUCUCCAACUGUUUUUCUUGAUGAUCAUAUAAGAAGUUCCUUAAUUUGAAUCAGUUUCUACUGUAUCACUACUAAAGCUUUUUUCGUUCAUUUUGCACUCAACCAGUGUACCUGUCAUUUGAUGGGAAAUCUGAUAAUAUUUGUAAAAUGAAUAACUGAUUGAAUGUGUGAAAAAAAGCAUGUAAUUUUGAAAAAAGUCAUUAGAAACUAUUAAAUAACUGAAUUUCUGCAUAUGCACUGCUUGGUCAUAUCACG
rnacentral:lncRNA from 1 species